GUCGUCAGGACGAACGCUGGCGGCGUGCCUAAUACAUGCAAGUCGAACGGUCUUUCUAUGGAAGCUUGCUUCCGCUGAGAAGAUAGUGGCGAACGGGUGAGUAACACGUGGGUAACCUGCCCAUAAGAGGGGGGAUAACAUCCGGAAACGGGUGCUAAUACCGCAUAGUUUUCUUGAUCGCAUGAUCGGGAAAGAAAAGACGGCCUUUGUGCUGUCGCUUAUGGAUGGACCCGCGGCGUAUUAGUUAGUUGGUGAGGUAACGGCUCACCAAGACGAUGAUACGUAGCCGACCUGAGAGGGUGAUCGGCCACAUUGGGACUGAGACACGGCCCAAACUCCUACGGGAGGCAGCAGUAGGGAAUCUUCCGCAAUGGACGAAAGUCUGACGGAGCAACGCCGCGUGAGUGAAGAAAGGUUUUCGGAUCGUAAAACUCUGUUGUCAGAGAAGAACAAGUUGGAGAGUAACUGCUCCAGCCUUGACGGUAUCUGACCAGAAAGCCACGGCUAACUACGUGCCAGCCGCUGC
rnacentral:rRNA from 1 species